GAUGAACGCUAGCGGCAGGCCUAAUACAUGCAAGUCGAACGGUGUAGCAAUACACAGUGGCGCACGGGUGCGUAACACGUAUGCAACCUACCUUACAUUGGGGGAUAGCCUUUCGAAAGGGAGAUUAAUACCGCAUAAGACAGUAACUAGGCAUCUAGUAGCUGUUAAAGAUUUAUCGAUGUAAGCUGGGCAUGCGUCCAAUUAGUUAGUUGGUGAGGUAACGGCUCACCAAGACGAUGAUUGGUAGGGGAACUGAAAGGUCAAUCCCCCACACUGGCACUGAGAUACGGGCCAGACUCCUACGGGAGGCAGCAGUAGGGAAUAUUGGGCAAUGGGCGCAAGCCUGACCCAGCCAUGCCGCGUGCAGGAAGAAGGCGUUAUGCGUUGUAAACUGCUUUUAUACAGGAAGAAACGACCCUUGCGAGGGGCAUUGACGGUACUGUAUAAAUAAGCACCGGCUAACUCCGUGCCAGCAGCCGCGGUAAGAC
rnacentral:rRNA from 1 species